rnacentral:sRNA from 1 species
GAGCGGGGAGCUGCACUUCUGGGUGAAGGAGGCUCGGGACCUCCUGCCGCUGCGGGCAGGAUCCCUGGACACUUACGUACAAUGGUGAGGAGUGCUGGCCCUCCGGGCUUCCCCUUCUUUUGCCUGCAGUGGAGUGCCCAACCUCGACAAACCCUUACUAAUCAACCUUUGAUCACGCAGCCUGGGCUUUCACCACUGAGCAGGGGUGAAGGGGACGGUUUGAGCAAAGGCCUGGAGUCAGGGAAGUUGAGGACACCUUUGAGGAGCUGCAUUUCAGCGUGACUGGCGCCUAUAGGACUUGUUGAAAAGCUGAGGCUGAGGGCUGCAAGGGUCCUUCCAUAGACAACCUGGGAGGCCAGGCUGUGGGGCUUGGCUGGGAACUUAUAGUUCAAUGUAAGCUUCUAGGGGACUUCUAGGGGUGCCUCCAGGUGCUGCCCCCACUCUUAGAGAGUGAAAUGGAGGUGGGCGGGUCACUUCUGGGUGUCCACCCUGAUGCAGCCAGAGGCUGCAGUACAGAGGUACUGUACUUCUGAGCAACACUGUAUUUUGCAGAGGGGGUUCCCAGGCUUUGAAAACCUUGGAAACAGGCCAGGCACGGUGGCUUAUGCCUGUAAUCCCAGCACUUUAAGAGGCUGAGGCGGGUGGAUCACCUGAGGUCAGGAGUUUGAGACCAGCCUGACCAACAUGGUGAAACCCCAUCUCUAUCAAAAGUACAAGAAAUUAUCCGGGCGUGGUGGUGGGUGCCUGUAAUCCCAGCUACUUGAGAGACUGAGGCGGGAGAAUCACUCGAACCCGGAAGGUUGCAGUGAACCAAGAUCACGCCACUGCACUCCAGCCUGGGCCACUGCACUCCAGCCUGGGCAAAACAGAGCGAGACUCGAUCUCAAAAAAUAAAAAAAAACCUUGGAAACUGCUUGAGGAGGGGUGGUGGUGGAGCAACAGGGAGAUAAUAAAAGUCACUGAGCCAGCGAGAAUAGCAGAACUGCAUUUCAGAGACAUUGCUCUGCAGCCCUGUGAAUAGGAGUUGUAACUUCUUAUUAUUAUUAUUAUUAUUAUUAUUAUUAUUGUUUUUGAGACGGAGUCUCGCUCUGUUGCCCAGGCUGGAGUGCAGUGGCACCAUCUUGGCGCACUGCAAGCUCCGCCUCCUGGGUUCACGCCAUUCUCCUGCCUCAGCCUCCUGAGUAGCUGGGACUACAGGCGCCCGCUACCACGCCCAGCUAAUUUUUUUGUAUUUUUAGUAGAGACGGGGUUUCACCAUGUUAACCAGGAUGGUCUCAAUCUCCUGACCUCGUGAUCCGCCCGCCUCGGCCUCCCAAAGUGCUGGGAUUACAGGCAUGAGCCACCGUGCCCGGCUAUUAUUAUUUUUUUUAAGAUGCAGUCUCACUCUGUUGCCUAGGCUGGAGUGCAGUGGUGUGAUUUCAGCUCACUGCAGCCGCAGUCUCCUGGGCUCCAGCAAUUCUCCUGCCUCAGCCUCCCAAGUAGCUGGGAUUACAGGUGCAUGCCACCAUGCCCAGCUAAUUUUUGUAUUUUUAGUAGAGAUGGGGUUUCACCAUGUUGGCCAGGCUGGUCUCGAACUUCCGACCUCAGGUGAUCCACCCACCUCGGCCUCCCAAAGUGCUGGGAUUACAGGCGUGAGCAACCUCGCCCGGCCAGGAGCUGUAACUUUUAAAGCCAGGAGACCUGAGAGGAGGCUGGUGCAAAGGUCCCAGGGCAGUGAGGGUCUAAGGCCAGGCAGGCAGGAGCCAGGGGACAUGGACAUAUGUGAGGGAGAAUGAGUGGGACGUGGUGACUGGAUGACUCUAGGGAGUGUGAGGGGGGUCACCUGAUGCCAGGCCACCUCCCGCACAGCUUCGUGCUGCCUGAUGACAGCCGGGCCAGCCGCCAGUGUACAAGGGUUGUGCGACGCAGCCUCAGCCCUGUGUUCAAUCACACCAUGGUGUACGAUGGCUUUGGGCCUGCUGACCUGCGCCAGGCUUGUGCCGAGCUCUCCCUCUGGGACCAUGGGGCCCUGGCCAACCGCCAGCUGGGGGGCACACGCCUCAGCCUGGGCACCGGCAGCAGCUAUGGGCUGCAGGUGCCCUGGAUGGAUUCCACACCUGAGGAGAAGCAGCUGUGGCAAGCCCUCCUGGAGCAGCCGUGCGAGUGGGUGGAUGGCCUUCUACCCCUCAGAACCAACCUGGCCCCCAGGACGUAGCCCCACCAAGCCUCUCUCUCUGGACCCCCAUCUCAGGGCCUGCCCUUGGCUAAAGUCAAUAAAGUCUAUUCUAAGAGC